rnacentral:rRNA from 1 species
AUUGAACGCUGGCGGCAGGCCUAACACAUGCAAGUCGAACGAGUGGCGGACGGGUGAGUAAUGUCUGGGAAACUGCCCGAUGGAGGGGGAUAACUACUGGAAACGGUAGCUAAUACCGCAUACCAUCGGAUGUGCCCAGAUGGGAUUAGCUUGUAGGGGAGGUAACGGCUCACCUAGGCGACGGUCCCUAGCUGGUCUGAGAGGAUGACCAGCCACAUGUGAACGGAGACACGGUCCAGCCUCCUACGGGAGGGAGCAGUGGGGAAUAUUGCGCAAUGGGCGAAAGCUGGAUGGAGUCAUGACGGGUGUAGGGAUAAGGCCUUCGGGGUGUAAAGUACUUUCAGAGGGCAGGCGGUACCCGCAGAAGAAGCACCGGCGAACUCCGUGCCAGCAGCCGCGGUAAUUC